GGCCUCUUGGUGCUUACCAUAGGCCGUGUUCUCACACUGACUGUAUAGAAAGAGGAGGCAAAGUAAACCUACACCAUACCCACCUCAGCCCAGGCCCUGUGUCUGGUCUGUAUUAUGAAUGGGGAGACAUGG
rnacentral:snoRNA from 1 species